ACCCAAUCGUAGUUCGGAUUGAGGGUUGUAACUCACCCUCAUGAAGCUGGAUUCCGUAGUAAUCGCUUGUCAACAUCAAGCGGUGAAUAUGCCCCUGCUCCUUGCACACACCGCCCGUCAAACCACCCGAGUUGGGUUUCAGUAAGGAUAUCUCAUUUUGGGGUCUUCGAACUGAGAUUCAGCAAGGAGGGUUAAGUCGUAACAAGGUAUCUGUAGGGGAACCUGCAGAUGGAUCACCUCCU
rnacentral:rRNA from 1 species